CGGGAGAGCGGCGGGGCAGAGAGCGUGACUCGCCCGCUCCAGUGCCACCGGUUCCCGCUGCGCUUGCCGCCGCCGUCGCCGCGCAACCAUGUCGGAAGAGAAGCCCAAGGAGGGUGUGAAGACAGAGAACGACCACAUCAACCUGAAAGUGGCAGGGCAGGAUGGCUCAGUGGUGCAGUUCAAGAUCAAGAGGCACACUCCGCUGAGCAAGCUGAUGAAGGCCUACUGUGAGAGGCAGGGCUUGUCAAUGAGGCAGAUUCGAUUCCGGUUUGAUGGACAACCAAUCAACGAAACAGACACUCCAGCCCAGGUAUGAAGUGUCUGUCUCCAGGUUCUGCGCCAUUUUUAGUUUCUAAACGUCCAUUUGGAACACUGUUAUUUGAGAAAUGGCUUGUUUCCACAAUGAUUUUUUUUAAAUUUAUUUAUUUUUAUGGGCAUUGGUGUUUUGCCAGUGUGUAUGUGUGAGGGUGUCAGCCAGAUUUUGGAAUUACAGUUGUGAGUUGCCAUGUAGGUACUGGGAUUUGAACCUCUAGAAGAGCAGUCAGUGCUAACUGCUGAGCCAUCUCUCCAGCCCCUCGACAAUGAUUUUAGUUAUUAGACUUCAGGUUUUGAUACUUUGAGAUUGAGUUUCUCAGACAAGUGGUAGUCAGACAUAUCUUUGUUGUUUAGAGGCAGUGUCCAAGUGUAGGACCCACACUCUCAGGCUGAUUGCCCAGAAAUCCAUCCACUGUGUGGGCUGAUAGAGGGAACACAGCUCCUGAGGUCCUGAGGGCUUAGUGCCAACCGUUUGCUCUUUAUUGGAGUUUGAACUGGAGUCAGAACUUAAAUAUUUGUCUUACUUUAAAAAAAAAAAAGAUGUAUUUUUAUAUAUAUGAGUACAUGGUCUCUGUCUUUAGACACACCAGAAGAG
rnacentral:lncRNA from 1 species